CCGGCGCACGGGUGAGUAACACGUAUCCAACCUGCCGAUAACUCGGGGAUAGCCUUUCGAAAGAAAGAUUAAUACAAGAUGGCAUCAUGAGUCCGCAUGUUCACAUGAUUAAAGGUAUUCCGGUAGACGAUGGGGAUGCGUUCCAUUAGAUAGUAGGCGGGGUAACGGCCCACCUAGUCUUCGAUGGAUAGGGGUUCUGAGAGGAAGGUCCCCCACAUUGGAACUGAGACACGGUCCAA
rnacentral:rRNA from 1 species